rnacentral:rRNA from 1 species
GACGAACGCUGGCGGCGUGCUUAACACAUGCAAGUCGAACGGAAAGGCCCUGCUUUUGUGGGGUGCUCGAGUGGCGAACGGGUGAGUAACACGUGAGUAACCUGCCCUUGACUUUGGGGUAACUUCAGGAAACUGGGGCUAAUACAGGAUAGGAGCUCCUGCUGCAUGGUGGGGGUUGGAAAGUUUCGGCGGGUGGGGAUGGACUCGCGGCUUAUCAGCUUGUUGGUGGGGUAGUGGCUUACCAAGGCUUUGACGGGUAGCCGGCCUGAGAGGGUGACCGGCCACAAUGGGACUGAGAUACGGCGCAGACGCCUACGGGAGGCAGCAGGGGGGAAUAUGGCACAAUGGGCGGAAGCCUGAUGCAGCAACGCCGCGUGCGGGAUGACGGCCUUCGGGUUGUAAACCGCUUUCGCCUGUGACGAAGCGUGAGUGACGGUAAUGGGUAAAGAAGCACCGGCUAACUACGUG